ACACAGACACAGGGCAGCCAACCAGGGAACGGGCAGCGGUCGUGGUAGCCUCGAUAUCUCUCUAUUUCGUGCCCGUUUACCUCCUGAACCCAAUUCUUACGGCCGGGUGGAGGGAAGCAGGUGUUUUUCCUCCCCUUUCCUCCCCCCAAAAAAGACAUCCCCUGCCCCACGCAGAAGAAAACACCCAAACAAAUAAAACAAACAAACAAACAAACAAAAAACCCUAAAGUCUGUCGGGAGCCUGGGAUCCAGAAGCUCAAAGGAAGGGGUGCGCACAGGGUCGCACACGUGUCCUGCUCGGCGGAGGGACAACUGGGCGAUCCCGGAGGGAGACGUGGACGGAUCAGCGCAACCAUCUGGGAGCCCACGAGCCCAUCGCAGGCCUGGCGGUGCGCCCGUCAGUCGCGGGGAGCACCCAGCCACCUAGAAUGCACUGCACUAGGCACGUCGGGGACUCAAGGUGUAUUACUAACUAUGGAGCAGACUGAUAGAUACCAGCUUCUCAGAAUGGCUGAUGCAGAUGGAUUACUGCAAGUGACUCUAUAUUCCUAUCACCUGGGAAAGAGAAGGCCUCCAUGACGUAGCAGAGCAAAUAAAUCAACCAUCACCAUGACAUACAGACACUGAAAUUAAAGAAGAAAAUAUGCAUGCAGUUGGUUCAAUUGGCACCCAUUAAAGCUAAUAACUAAUCAUCCUUGCAAGUUUCUAUCUCUGAAUUAUCAAAUCUGCAAAGAAAACAACAUCCGUCCACUUUUACACU
rnacentral:lncRNA from 1 species